AUUAAUUCCUCACAAAGAAGCAAAAAUAUAUAUACCGGUCUCGCUACCUAUUUUUGAUGACUAAGUUCAUACCACUUCAAUAAGACUGCUAUUUUUGGUGCGACUUGUGGCAGCAGUAUACCCACGUCACACAAACUUGUUGAGUCUGAGCUCCGUUAAGUCAGAAGGACGGUGGCGGCGGCGGCGGGAGAAGAGGAGAUUGAGCCGGGUGAUUUCACCACGUCCUUCAAAACUACAGGUAAGGAAGAGAUGGAACAACACUCAUCAGCUGUGUGACAGCAAUUUCAAAGUGAGCCUCAAAGAAAGAGGCUGACUUGGCUGCUGAUGGCUUCAGUAUGUGCACUCUUCCAAGGUGAGGAGCUGCUGGGGUGUGGUGCAACCUCGGAACAUUGUGGCGACCGGCUGGUGCUGACAAGUGUGGUGGGGUAGGGGAACCCACACCCUCCCCAAGGUGGCGCUGGGAGGCAAGGGAGGUGGCAACAGCAGCCAAGUUCAGUAAUGCAUCAGCACCCUCAACCAGUUGCCUCAUGUCUGCUUGGGAUGCUUCACUGGAAACAUGGAUAAAAGACACUGAUAUCAUGAGGAGAACAGUGAUUUUAUUAGCCUAACCAACACUUCCUUCUGUUAUCUGUUGAAGACUUACCUGGCCACAUCACUGUCAUAAGAGUCAUCAGAGAAGGCUUCAUCCACACUAGAGAGAGAUGUGUCCUUGCCAUCCCUCAGCUGAGAGUAGGAUUCUGUAACAGCAGCAAGAGGGUCAUAUUAUAUUUGAAUAUGAAACAUGGAGUGUCAGACUACACCAAAAAAUCAAGGUAAAGUCACUAUUAAACGGGUAUUAUUUGUACCAUGAAAAAUCUGUGCCUCCAUCAGCAUAAUUUUCCUUGUGUAAUAAUACCUUAUAUACAAUAUCACAAACUUUAUAAUCAUGGUUUACACUAUUCACUUAUUACAUUAAUUCUUCUUUCUACUGUGUCAGCCUUUGCUUAAUAAUGACAGUAAGUCAAUGCUUACCCAUUAAAAACCCUAGCUAAUUUUUAUCCCACAAUAUAAGCAUACUGAUGAUAAUUUUACCCUCAUUUUCACACUACACAUACAUUCCCAGCUCCUACUCGUAAUACCAGCUAAACAAACCAGUCCUAAUCUAUAACAAACCAUAUAUCACAAAAGAUAUCCCACUACUCUCUAUCCACAUCCUCACCCAACACUUCAUCAUUGACUGCAUGAUAAUAAAUGCUCAUCUCAAACUUUCACCACUCCACUACUUACCACUUGCUGGAGUCACAAUACGGGAGCCAUGCUUGAGGGCCAACAUAGCUGCUGCUGCAUCUACAUCCUCACUAUGAACUCCAGAGCCCACCACCUCCAUCCCCAAAGUCCCAGGCCCCGUGGAGCCCAGGCGCCGUGCCAAGUAUGGGAACAGUUCAGGGUCUGGCACAUUGGCCCCAGCUGGCUUGGUGGGACUUGCUGCAGGGCUCUCCACAGGUACACUUGCCCGUCCUGUUCCACUCUGUCCACUUGCCCCUUCCCCAACCUGCCUGCUGGGAGAGUAAUGUGUUAGAUACUUGGCAAGAGAAAAUUGGUAUGACAAAAUUUGACAGUUAACAACUCUUGUGUUAUCAUGUGUACUCUACUUAUGUAAAAUAUUCAUUGCAAUUCAGUGCAAAAUGUAGAAAAAAUGUAUGAAUCUAUAACUUUAUUCAUUGCAAUUCAGUGCAAAAUGUAGAAAAAAUGUAUGAAUCUAUAACUUUACAACUUGUGUGUGAUCCAUCCCUGCUACAAGUAGCCUAACCUCAAUCUUUAUCUACUUUUUGGAAGAUUUCUAACACUACAAAGCUUGAAAAGUCUGACCACUGCCUGGUGGUCAAACUUACUUAUUGUAGGCAGCCUUGGUGGAUACCAGGUAGAUGCGGUCCAGGUUGGAGUAUGGGUGGAAGGGAGUCUUGCUGAGGGCCUGCAGGAGAUUUGGACGGUAGGCGGGGUCCACCAUCCAUAAGGAGCCCUUGCCAAGGUUCUGAAACAAAUGGAUGACAUCAGAACUAUACAAAGGAAAACUGGAAAACUAAUAUUAUCAAUGAAGAAGUAUUUCAUGUCUUGUAUCUUUGUGGUGGAGAGACCUGAGUGCAGCGUGUAAAGCAAAAAAUAGAUUGCCUAUGAAAUGAGACCUUGCACUGGACAAUGUGCUUACAUUUUUCAUUCAUUAUUCUACACAUUUGGUGCAUCUUAUCUGAUUGUCAAAAUAGUGAGAGACCUUCCUCUAAGAGUAACUGCUGUCUGUCUUAAUGUGAUUUGUCGUAGCUUUAUAUAUUCUUCAGUACUGUUUGCUCAUCGACAUUAUCAGACAAAUGUAUGCUUCAGUUUUAUCUUUAAAUUCAUCACAAGAAUCUAACUGUAACCAAUUCCAUAAUUUACUGAAUUGUUAAAAUAAAUAUUCCAUAAUUUACUGAAUUGUUAAAAUAAAUAAAUAUACAUCUUUUAUCUUGUAGUUAAACCAAUUAUAAGAGCAUUCAAA